CUCUGAUGACAGAGCACGUCGACGUUACGCAAGUACGCGGCAUAACGCCCCCACGCUCCUCCUCCACCCUCCAUACAGAAGUGGAUUCCCGGCGGCGGCUCUCUGCUCAUAAUUUGCAAGUCAAGUGCAAAGCAGUAUUAUGCACUUGACUUGCACUUUAAAUACAGAACUCGGCCAGCCUGCGAGCUGUGUUGGCCGCCCGGCGCCCCUGUUGCCAUGGCGCCCUGUGCGGCCGCAGAGCUCGCACAUCCCUAAGGCCGGCCCUGGAUACGCUUCACUUGGACAAUGUUUCAUGGCUUUUCCGUUUUUUUAGAACUGGAUUAUGAUGUAAUUUGCUAAAUCUGUAAUAUAAAUUUAAAAGAAAAUGAAGCAUCUUAGAAUAAAGGUUAAUUAACACAAGUUAUAGGUGAUUUUCAAUGUUAAAUUCAACGACUUAAAUUGCAGAGACGUGACUGGUCCACUUUAACACCAUCAAUGCAUUGGCCUGUCCUCAACCUUAAACCUGUAACAUCAUUAAAAAAAAAAAAACACAUGCCAUUUUUGUGUUGUCAGCCAUGCAGGGUAAACCUAUGGAGCCCGACAUCAGAAGAAUAAAAGUUUGUUCAAUGCGCCAUGAUACUUUUCAUGGUGUCUGGAGUCUGUAUGUGCUGCACAUACAGAGCUUAACCUUAAUCUUUGGGAGUCAUUAGCCGGCCCAGAGUUCGGGGCUGGGUAAUAUCAGUCGUGUGCAAAAUUGGUGUCUGACACCAGCACACAGCAUGGUGGUGCCAGACAGCCAAUAUCGGCACGGUGUCCUCCUCCAUGCUGCCUCUCCCAUGUCCUCCCUCCCAUGAGGGGGAGUGAUGUUAGCCAAGGGUUGAGGGGAGUACUUGUAGGAAAAGAAAUAAGUCUAAGCUCUUUCUUUGCUACCAUACAGCCCUUCCAUGUGUUCAACCCUACCAUACACCCAGGGGCGUUUUAGCCGCAAGGCAUUUGCCUUGGGCGGCAUUUUCCAGGGGGCGGCAAAAAAAGCCGCCCCCCAAAUGCCCAGGGCAAAUGUCUUGUUAGCCUCGCGGCUAACUGACAUGCCUAGCAGGCGGGAGGCGCUGGGCGGGCUGCGCUGGCGAAGGAGCUCUUCCUCUGAGCUGUCUGCUCAGCUCCCUCGCGCGCCGCAGAGUGAGGCUGAGAGCCGGAAUAUGUCAUAUCCCGGCUCCCAGCCUCACUCUGAGGCGCGUGAGGGAGCUGAGCAGACCGUUCAGAGGAAGUGCUCCCUCGCUAGCGCAGCCCGCCCAGCCCAGCCCAACAGCCACUGGACCACCAGGGAGAGAGGGAACCCUCCCCCCCCAGCAUUCCCAAAGGUAAGGGGGAAGGGGGGUUAAAAAAAUAAAUGUGUUAAUGUAAGUGUGUCUGUGAGUGAGUGUGUCUGUGAGUGAGUGUGUCUGUUAGUGAGUGUGUCUGUGAAUGAGUGUGUCUGUGAGUGAGUGUGUCCGUUAGUGUGUGUGUCCGUUAGUGUGUGUGUGAGUGUGUCUGUUAGUGAGUGUGUCUGUCUGUUAGUGUGUGUGUCUGACUGUUAGUGUGAGUGUGUCUGACUGUUAGUGUGAGUGUGUUUGCCUGUGAGUGUGAGUGUGUUUGCCUGUGAGUGUGUCUGCUAGUGUGUGUGUGUGUGUGUGUGUCUGCUAGUGAGUGAGUGUGUUUGUGUCUGACUGUGUGUGUAUGUUUGCCUGUGAGUGUGUCAGUGAGUGUGUGUGUGUCAGGGCCGGAUUAAGAGCACACUGGGCCUGGUGCUGACAAAUAUGAUGGGCCUAAUUACGGAAUCUUAUCAACCAAAAACACUAAAACAGUCAUACCUCCCAAGCGUCAUGUAUCUGAUGGAGAUGGUGCUGGAGGGAAACUCAAAG